rnacentral:rRNA from 1 species
CCUACGGGAGGCAGCAGUAAGGAAUAUUGGUCAAUGGAGGAAACUCUGAACCAGCCAUGCCGCGUGCAGGAUGACUGCCCUAUGGGUUGUAAACUGCUUUUAUACGGGAAGAAACCCCGCUACGUGUAGCGGGUUGACGGUACUGUAAGAAUAAGGACCGGCUAACUUCGUGCCAGCAGCCGCGGUAAUACGAAGGGUCCAAGCGUUAUCCGGAUUUAUUGGGUUUAAAGGGUGCGUAGGCGGCUUUUUAAGUCAGUGGUGAAAGCCUGAUGCUCAACAUCAGAACUGCCAUUGAUACUGAAGAGCUUGAGUACAGUUGAGGUUGGCGGAAUGUGUCAUGUAGCGGUGAAAUGCUUAGAUAUGACACAGAACACCGAUUGCGAAGGCAGCUAGCUAAGCUGUAACUGACGCUGAUGCACGAAAGCGUGGGGAGCAAACAGGAUUAGAUACCCUGGUAGUCCACGCCCUAAACGUUGAUAACUCGCUGUUGGCGAUAUACUGCCAGCGGCCAAGCGAAAGCAUUAAGUUAUCCACCUGGGAAGUACGGUCGCAAGAUUGAACCUUAAAUGAAUUGACCGGNNGAGAGNGACGAGACGACGAGAGGAG